UACGGAGGGUGGCAAGCGUUAUCCGGAAUCACUGGGUUUAAAGGGUGCGUAGGCGGUUAUGUAAGUCGGGGUGAAAGGUCACAGCUUAACUGUGAGAUUGCCUUUGAAACUGUGUAACUUGAAUCAGAUAGAGGUUAGUGGAAUGCGACAUGUAGCGGUGAAAUGCAUAGAUAUGUCGUGGAAUACCGAUUGCGAAGGCAGCUAACUGGGUCUUGAUUGACGCUGAGGCACGAAAGCGUGGGGAGCGAACAGGAUUAGAUA
rnacentral:rRNA from 1 species